rnacentral:rRNA from 1 species
UAGCAUAUCAAUAAGCGGAGGAAAGAACCACAGGGAUUGCCCCAGUAACGGCGAGUGAAGCGGCAACAGCUCAAAUUUGAAAUCUGGCCCCUCGGGCCCGAGUUGUAAUUUGUAGAGGAUGCUUUUGGCAAGGUGCCGCCCGAGUUUCCCUGGAACGGGACGCCGCAGAGGGUGAGAGCCCCGUCUGGCUGGCCGCCGAGCCUCUGUAAAGCUCCUUCGACGAGUCGAGUAGUUUGGGAAUGCUGCUCAAAAUGGGAGGUAUAUGUCUUCUAAAGCUAAAUAUUGGCCAGAGACCGAUAGCGCACAAGUAGAGUGAUCGAAAGAUGAAAAGCACUUUGAAAAGAGGGUUAAACAGUACGUGAAAUUGUUGAAAGGGAAGCGCUCAUGACCAGACUUGGGCUUGGCGGAUCAUCCGGCGUUCUCGCCGGUGCACUUCGCCUCGCCCAGGCCAGCAUCAGUUCGCGCCGGGGGACAAAAGCUUCGGGAAUGUGGCUCCUCCGGGAGUGUUAUAGCCCGUUGCAUAAUACCCUGGGGCGGACUGAGGUUCGCGCAUCUGCAAGGAUGCUGGCGUAAUGGUCAUCAGCGACCCGUCUUGAAACACGGACCAAGGAGUCGUCUUCGUAUGCGAGUGUUCGGGUGUCAAACCCCUACGCGUAAUGAAAGUGAACGCAGGUGAGAGCUUCGGCGCAUCAUCGACCGAUCCUGAUGUUCUCGGAUGGAUUUGAGUAAGAGCAUACGGGGCCGGACCCGAAAGAAGGUGAACUAUGCCUGUAUAGGGUGAAGCCAGAGGAAACUCUGGUGGAGGCUCGCAGCGGUUCUGACGUGCAAAUCGAUCGUCAAAUAUGGGCAUGGGGGCGAAAGACUAAUCGAACCUUCUAGUAGCUGGUUUCCGCCG